rnacentral:rRNA from 1 species
AAUGAACGUUGGCGGCGUGGAUUAGGCAUGCAAGUCGUACGGUGGUUUCCUUUCGGGGAGGCCAUAGUGGCGAAAGGGAGAGUAACGCGUGGUUACAUGCCCUCGAGACCGGGAUAGCGGCGAGAAACUGCCGGUAAUACCGGAUAAUAUCUUUGGAUCAAAGGUGUGAUUCCGCUCGAGGAUUGGACCGCGUUCUAUUAGCUUGUUGGCGGGGUAAUGGCCCACCAAGGCGACGAUGGAUACCGGGUGUGAGAGCAUGGCCCGGCUCACUGGGACUGAGACACUGCCCAGACACCUACGGGUGGCUGCAGUCGAGAAUCUUCGGCAAUGGGGGCAACCCUGACCGAGCGACGCCGCGUGCGGGACGAAGGCCUUCGGGUUGUAAACCGCUGUCAGUUGGGAGGAAAUGCUGGGGGGUUCUCCCCUCAGUUUGACCGAUCUUCAGAGGAAGGACGGGCUAAGUUCGUGCCAGCCGCCGCAGUAA